UACGUAGGGGGCAAGCGUUGUCCGGAAUCAUUGGGCGUAAAGCGCGUAUAGGCGGCUCGAUAAGUCUGCUGUGAAAGUUCAGGGCUCAACCCUGAAAUGCCGGUGGAAACUGUCGGGCUAGAGUCCGGAAGAGGCGAGUGGAAUUCCUGGUGUAGCGGUGAAAUGCGCAGAUAUCAGGAGGAACACCAAUGGCGAAGGCAGCUCGCUGGGACGGUACUGACGCUGAGACGCGAAAGCGUGGGGAGCAAACAGG
rnacentral:rRNA from 1 species